rnacentral:lncRNA from 1 species
UUUGUAUUUACUUGAUUACAUUUUAUGAAUUUGAUAAAAUUGAGUAAAGGGGAACACUUACUUCCAUAAACACAGUCCCCUCCAUGCAUUCCUCCCAUUCCCUCUCCCCAAAAUUCCCUGUCAAAAAGAUCCAUUCCUCUUCCUUUUCUCUUUAGAGAAAACAAAAACAAAAACAAAAACAAAAACAAAAACAAAACUAAGUCAAACCUAGAAGAACAAGUUACAAUGAUAUAAGGGCACAAUCCCUCAUUUUAUGUCUGGAAAAAGUAAUAAAAAGCAUCUCAAAAACAGGAUGAGCCAGAGGGACCCAAAAGAAAGGGGAAAAAUACAUAGUAGAUCAAGUGUGGACAAGGAUACUAUGAGAAUACAACUCAUAGAACCUACUAACAGAGCUAAUAGAGGCUCACAAACACUGAAGAUCCUAUAACACAUACUUUAUGGGUCUGAGUUAGGUACCCCUGAAUUAACAUUAUGAGUGUCUAGCUUUGUGUUCUUAUUGGUCUCCCAACUGAGAAAAUGAAACAAUGUCUCAGAGUCUUUAGGCAUCAAAAUAUUUUUUUUCAAUGAUGGUUCCUACACUGGAAAGGCAAGUUUAAGAAUUAAUGUUAAUGGAACUGGAUAAAAUAGACAUUUGCAGAACUUCCCAAAUAAACAAAAGUGUAGGUGUUCAAGGGUAGGAACAACCAUUCAGUCCAGCAUGGUCAGAAGAACCAGAAGCGGUAAAACAUGGAGUCCCUAUAUUCAUCCUGCUAUGUUCAGAACACUUGGUGUUAUUCCUUUAUAAAUUCUGAACUCCUACAUUUGAGAGUAUGGGUUUUAUCAAGGUCCCCUCUGGGGCCUUGAAAGGCAGUUUGUUUUAGUUGGACAAGGCUUGCUUCAUAGACCUAGGAGAAAACUCUACAAGGGAAUAGAAUAUUGAGCCAUAUUUCCAGAGACAGGUGCCUGAAAUUACAUAGCCCCCAACAAUUCUGUGACUAUCAACCAUGCACACAAAGCACCAAUCUCCUGACAUUCUGGCUAAACUCUACCUCCAUAGUUACCUAAAAGUAGCCAGGUAUACUCCUCCCCAAAGUUACCUGGCAACAGCAAGGUAGACCAGCCCAAUAUAAAAGGAGCUGCCUGGCCCCACCUUGCUCUCUUUAAGCUCUCACCUUUCUAACUCUUAUCUCUAGCCCUCCUUCCCUCUCUCCCACCCUCCUCUCUCCAUGUGGCCAUGGCCAGCCUCUCUCUUUCUUUUACCUUCUCUCUUACUCUCUGCCUUUCUACAAUAAAGCUCUAAAUCCAUAGAACAUCUCUGCUCAUCAAGGCCGGCUGUAUUUGCAUGAUGGGAUAGUCUUUCCCCUAAAGAGCCUUGUCUAGCCUCCUGCUGGAAGGCAUCCAGGUGCUCCAGCCAUGGACCAGACCAAGGACUCUUUUCCAUGAGGCAACCACCAAGCACCCACUCUCUCUCUCUCUCUCUCUGCCCUCUCCUCCUUUCAGCCUUGGGAAUGAGCUGCCCAUCCAUGGGGUCAGUUCUUCUGUGGUGUCCAGUUGCAUCUGGGAUGCCCAAUACCAAGAACCUGUUAUCUCUGGUCUUCAUGAGGCCCAGAGACCUUGGAUUCCACUUGUCUACACUCAGUGGGAUGGGGUUCUGAUGUAUCACACAACCAGAUACCCACAUGGGGCCAUGUGGAAAGAGUGCAGCAGUCUUCCUGCACCUGCCUGCCCAGAGCACCGGAAAUCUGAUGUGACACUGAUUUUCAAUAACUCCAUUUAUUCCCCCAUGCCCAUUGUCCAACAGUCCCCUCUACCCUAUUCUUCACACUGCAUUUCUACCUUUAUCAAUCUCCAUUACUGCACAACUCUUCUGGUCUAAAUAGUUAGGAUUUCUACAAAGGUAAGAAAUUACUGUCUUCUUACCGGUGAACUGAGUUAUUGAAAAUCUCUCCAUGUCAUAUCAUGGAUCACUCUACCCCGAUGACACUUAGAAUCUUAUAGCUUUCAUGCACAACUAAAUACUACUUUCCAGUGUGACUUACUGCUUUCCUUAUUAAAGUUUCACAAUCUCUGCCAUUGUUUUUUCUGCAGAUUCAUUUCGAUCUAAUCUUGUACACUCAGACUCAUGGUUGUGCAGUAAAAUAUAAAGGGGAAUGUGGGUAUUGAUGCAUAAUUUAUUAUUAAGCUGGACAGUGAUGAGCAAAUAGCAGAGUCCCAAAUACAUGAGAACCAUGCAUUUUUAUAAUUUGCUGACCAUGUCUGAAUGAAAUAACUAGUUUCUGUUCACUGGUUCUAUUAUUUGUGCUGAGACAAAGGUGUGAAUCUCUAAGAGGUAGCACCUAUUUCCCAGAAAUAAUUUCAUCCUCUUCAUGUAAGAGUAAAACAAUUAACACCAAAUUCAAAUCUGAGAUAUGUGACCAAACUUGACUGUCAGCUUUGGCUGACAAUUCUAAUUUUUCCUCUAAUAUUUCUGCAAAUCACUAUCUACUGCAGUGAUAUUCUCUAUGCAGUAAACUGGCAUUUUGUGGAGUUUAGCUAUGGCAGCAUGUGAAAUAUCAUCAUAGCUUAGCUUAAUAACUAUAUCCAUAUACACAAGAUAAGCAAACUGACUCAAGAUACAUGUAUCUGAAUAUUCAUCUGUACCUGACUACCUCUUAUUGACAACAACUUUCAAAAUUCUACACUUUCAAAUUCUACAAAUAUUGAUAGGAAUUCUAGAUUUCUUUGAUCUAGUUAUGUUAUGGGGAAAUUAUAGACAUUAUUUACAUCUGUCACUAAUGAAAAAAUAUUAGAAGUUUUAGUGGGUGGGAGGUUAUAAUACAACUGAGAACUAGUUCGAGAAGAGAAGUGAUGCAUUCUUUGAGAUAGAAAAUCCUAUGCACAAUUGAAGCAAAAUUGAAUAUGGGAGUGGAUUUUACAGAGGAAAUUUUCCAUACUUGUUUUUCUCUAUUCUAUUUAGCUGUGAACAGUGGUUGGGAGCAUGGUAAUUUUAAUUGUCAUUGAUAGGUCUAUUAUUUGAGGCAACAGGGGUAGGGCACAUAUCUAGGUAAAUCACAGAAUAGCAAUCAUUUUCCAUAUGGUAUUAGUUGGCAUUCCUCAUUUAUGGGCACUUUUUUAGCUUAUGCACUAGAUGUAACACAGCAGGGAAAAUAUAUCGUUGAAUAUCUAGAAAGGUAAAACAUCUCCUUCUCUGUAUAAUGAUAGUUCUGUUUGUAGGCAAGGAGGCCAACCUGAAAGAGACUGUUGGAAUGAAUUUGGAAUUGAGUGAGAAAAUGAUGCUAGGCUUUCACCUUUGGCUAACCUUUAACAUAUUUGAAAUCAGUCUGGCGGUUCCUCAGAAAGUUGGACAGAGUACUACCGGAGGAUCCUGCAAUACCUCUCCUGGGCAUAUAUCCAGAAGAUGUUCCAACUGCUUUCAGCUUGGACCAGGCUCUUGCUGCAGAUUUUGAGAAGGAGUUGUGCCCUGGAAACGUGCAGAUGAAAAUGAAAAGAAAAUGUCAUCAUGGUCAGCCAGUCAGAGUCAACCACAGCUAAAGAAAUUUAUCCACAUAAACAAUUUCCAGUAAUGGUCUCAGCUCGUACGAGGCUCCUGUUGUAAAUUGACAACAAGCUGUUCUUUCCAGAAGGAGGAGUGCAGAAGAAAAUGAAAAGAAAACGUCAUCAUGGUCAGCAGAGGCGGCGACAGAGGCAGCGGCAGCAGCAGCGGGAGCAGGAACACCAACUGCAGCAGCAGCGUCAGCAGGAGCAGCAGCAGCAACGCCAGCAGGAACAUCAGCAGCAGCAGCAGCUGCAGCUGCAGCUGCAGCAGCAGUGCCAGCAGCAUCAGCAGCAGUGCCAGCAGGCACAGCUGCAGCAGUGCCAACAGGCACAGCAGCAACAGCAGCAGCGUCAGCAGGAGCAGCAGCAGCAGCAGCAGCAGCAGCAGCAGCAGCAACCACAAAGAAGAAGGAGAAAAAACAGGAGGAGCAGGAGGAGCAGGAAGAGCAAGAAGAGCAAGAGGACAAGGAGGACCAGGAACACCAGGAGGAGGAGAAGGAGAAAUAAUGAGUGAUUGUGUCUACAUUUAUGGAAAGAGUUUGGUGGGGUACUAAUGUUGCAUCUUUGAAGAAAUGGGUACUCAAAGAAAUCCUCAUGUAGAGUCACACUGUGCUGUCAUCUGAGACUUCAAGUUCAUUACUGAAUCCAUGCUUCCUCUUCGCAUCGUGAGAAGAUCACUACAGAAGCAUAUCACCACACUUAGCUAGUGGUAUUGUAAAAUCUCUUCAUCAAUGACUUUCAUUUUUGCUUGCUUGUUUAUAAAAAUUUGAAUGAAACAUUUAUAUUUUCUCAUUUUCUACAAUUUUCCUUAAAUCACCUUUACAUCUAACCAUAUUUUUUAUUACUUGCCAUAUUUUUAAUUACAAUAAGGUAUUUAAACACUGAAAUAUAUUUUGUAAUAUUUUAUUUUUCAUUAUUUACAACCAUAUUUUAAAUCAAAUAUUCUAUUAUAUUAUACCACUCCCCAAAGUUCUUCAGAUCCACUUCCAUUUUCCAUCCAGCUUUAAUCUCUUUGUCAAAUCAUACAAAAUUCUAAUGGAAAACCAAUCUCUCAAAAUCAAGAAAAUAAAACCACAUUCAAAGCAACCAAUCAACAAACAAACAUGCAACAAUUAACAAAACAACAAAAAGGAAAAACACCAAACUGUAACCAUAUAAAAGAACACUCAAAAGCACAGAAAAAGUGGAUUCAAAUUAUUUAUUGAUCAACUACUGCUGAACCUGAGGACUGUCCUCAGUGAUGUACCUAGUACACUCUUUCUAGAAAAUUAAGCUUUAUCUUUCUGAGUGGUUAUAUGAGAAUUCAGUUUUUGCCCUUUCCUCUAGGACCUACAUUUUUACUUAUUUAUUAUUUUAUUUAUAUAUUAAUUAAUUUAUUCAUCCAUUCAUGUCUUUUAAAUUAUAAGAAAAUUAAAAUAUAUAAUAUGUAAUAAAAUAACCCAAAAUCUAUCUAUAGUAUUAAUAGACUAACCAAUACUGGCAUGAGGUUACCAUCUGCAUCAAUGUAACAGUAUUUUACUGUUAAUUGGGUCCCUAAAACCUGUUUGCAGGAGAUGUGCAAGUAGCUUCUGGGAACAUGUCCCCAGUUAAUUCUGAUUGGUAAGUAAGAUAAUAUCAGGCAAUAUGUGGGGAUGAGAGACAGCUGCAGGAUUUAAGAUUCCCAGGUUUGGAACCAUGAGGAAGAAGAGGGACACAGAUAUGAAGGACCUGAAUUGUAUGUAGGGGAGGAAAGCAGAACCACGAUGUAAAGGGGCCAGGAGAACAUGGCCCAGAGGACUGCUCAAUUAAGUCAAGAGCAGCCAAAACAUAACAAAGAAAUUCAUAUGUAGUAAUUCAGAGAUCUCUGAGGGAGGUAAAAAACAACAUCAUAGAGGUUAGGCAGUUGUUCAGCUAUUGUGCUACUUAAUUGAUAUUAAAUAUAAAGGCUGUGUGAUUUUCAUUUGGGAACAUAAACCAUUAAAGCAGGUAGUAACCAAUGAGAGAUUAAUUUAAAAAAUAAAACUUCAAAUAUGAUAAUAACUUUGGGCAAGAUAAAUCAACAGAAAACAUGAGCCCAAGCCAAGGCACAAUAAUCAGAGAUCUACUUAUUUGAACACUCAAACAUCCCAUUAUCCCUUAACUGGAUGUCAUAUUACAUUUGAGAAGGUCCUAGUACAUUACCAAAGACCCUGGAAUUUAGCAGUAUACUAUGUAGACACUGACUUGACAUUUUUAUUUUAAUGAAAUUUCUAGGUACUGUCAUCAACAAUUACACCUUGCUGUCAGUUUGGCGACAGAGCCCUAUAGUUUUGGAAACAACUUGGGUUGCUUGGAAAUUUCUGUUCUAUUUAUAACUAAAUUAUAUGUAAACCAAUUCUAGUGCUGAAGCUUUGUUUGGUGGCAAGUAUUGGCCCAUUGAGAGCCAUUAUUUGGUAAUUUCACUUAAAUCUCUCUCUCUCUCUCUCUCUCUCUCCCUCUCUCUCUCUCUCUCUCUCUCUCUCUCUCUCUCUCUCUCUCUCUCUUUCUCUCUCUCACACACGCACACCCACACACACACACACACACAAACACAAACAAACACACAAAACACAAAACAAACACACACACACACAUAUAUCUACACAUAAAUACACACACACACACACACACACACAUAUAUAUAUGUAUAUAUACACAUAAUUCAUAUUGUUUUUAUUGUACUAUGUUUCCCUACUACCCCUUCAGUACCCUUUUAGUGACCUGUUACUUUUAACUUUACCUCUUGUAUUCCUUUCGACAAUCUACCCUCCUCACCCUAGCUGUGUCUCCCUGUUUUCUCUUCCACAAUCUCCUCUCUUCUCCUUUUUCCCACUUGAUUCAAGCUCCAAUCCCAAUUCGUUAGUUUUGUGUAGUCUCUUUCCUCUGUCAAAGUAUGCUGUAUGAAACUUGUAAUUAUCUGUUAUUUUUUUAAAAAAAGGCUAGUAUUUACUUUACAUAAUGAGUAACUUGAAAACAGUAUCUGGGACAUUUUAGAUGGAAGUGGCAACAAUGUGUAACAGAUGAUUUUUUUUAAAAAGGCAGAUAUAAAGAUGUAAAGAUGCAUUUAUUAUCUGUGUAUAUUCAUUUUCCACUUAUGUUUAUGGAAAUUUUUGUAACUAUUAUUUGAAUUAUUUUUUCAUAUCAUGAAAGUGGCUAGAGAUUUUCAAAGGAUUUUAUUUUCUUUUUCUGAACACUGAAAUGAUCAUGUAAAACUUUGCCAUUACUGUAUUAAUGUAGUACUUUACAUGAGCGCUUUAUAUGUUAUGCUAUUCCUACAUAUUUAGGUCACAUUUACAAUAUAAUAGUAUAUACACUUUUCUAUAUGUUUGAUGGUUUGAAUUGUAUUUGUUAGUAUAGAACUUCAUUUUGUAUUAUUGUUUGAUGUUUUUCACACAAUAUAUUUUAAUUACUGUCUCACCACUUUUCCAACUGUUACCAGAUUUUCGUGUCUCCCUACCAAUAAAAUUUCAUCCACCCUU